AAAGUGAAAAAGCAGACGCGCCAUCGUAAUUUUCUGCAGCAUUUGCUUGCCCGUCAAAUAACACCGGCUUGUUUUGGUUUUUAUAAGGUUCUAUGUGAUGGCAUGUUUAUGCACCAUUUGCUUGUCUAUAAAAUGACACCGGCUCAUACUGCUCUUGUCAAUACUCUUGGUGCUCCAGUGAGACUUUUCACUACCAGAUGUGUCGUUGAAGAGUUGAAGAGCGAAGAGUUGAAGAGAAUCCUUCGAGACACCUAUCCUAUGACACUCGAUGCAGCUAGUAGCCUUUUAACUGUAAGGUAAACCUUUAAUGUUUACCUAUUAUAAUUAAUGUGUUUUUCUGCAAUUGAAUAUGUGACGAUGGAGUUGUAGCUUUGAAACUGACUGAAUACAGCACCUAAAGCUCUGGUCUUUAUUUGUUACAGAUGUGAUCAUGAGUUUCCCAUCGAUAGUGGAAGUUGCGUACGUGAAGUGAUUGGGAGAAACAAUCCGGAGAACUUUUAUGUUGCUUCACGGGAUCCUUAUGUACUGGAAGGGCUUCGGCAGAUACUUGGAGUUUCUAUUAUAUAUCCAGUUAGGAAAGCUUUAUUUCUCGAACGAGUGACUGAGGUAGAGAAAAAGAGGAAAUGCUCUGAUGAUGAAUGGUCUGAUUAUGAAUGGUCUGAUGAUGAAUUGUCUGAUGAAGGAGCAAGUGAA